rnacentral:rRNA from 1 species
UUGCGGUACUCUGACCGUGCAAAGGUAGCAUAAUCAUUUGUCUUAUAAUUGAAGACUGGAAUGAAUGGUUUGACAAGAAUACUUCUGUCUCUUUAUAAUUUUAUAGAACUUAAUUUUUAGGUGAAGAAGCCUAAGUAAAAUUGAAAGACAAGAAGACCCUAUCGAGCUUUAAGUAAAUUAGUAACCUAAGAAUAAUAUGAGAUAGAGAUAUAAGUUACUAAAAAAUUUUGGUUGGGGCGACAAAGGAACAUAAAAAGCUUCCUUUAUUUAGUUGUAUAUUUUCAAAUCUGGAUCCAAAUUUUUGUUGAUUAGAGAAAAUAGUUACCGUAGGGAUAACAGCAUAAUCUUUUUUGAGAGCUCAUAUUGAAAAAAAGGUUUGUGACCUCGAUGUUGGAUCAGAAUACCCUAAAGAUGCAGAAGUCUUUAAUGGUUGGUCUGUUCGACCAUUAAAA